rnacentral:rRNA from 1 species
AUUAAGUUGGGCACUCUAAAGAGACUGCCGGUGACAAGCCGGAGGAAGGUGGGGAUGACGUCAAGUCCUCAUGGCCCUUAUAGGUGGGGCUACACACGUCAUACAAUGGCUGGUACAAAGGGUUGCCAACCCGCGAGGGGGAGCCAAUCCCAUAAAGCCAGUCGUAGUCCGGAUCGUAGUCUGCAACUCGACUACGUGAAGUCGGAAUCGCUAGUAAUCGUGGAUCAGAAUGUCACGGUGAAUACGUUCCCGGGUCUU